GGAUGCUGACGAGCGGCGGACGGGUGAGUAAAGUCUAGGAAUCUGCCCAAUAGAGGGGGACAACGCGGGGAAACUCGCGCUAAUACCGCAUACGCCCUACGGGGGAAAGGUGCUUAACUGUACCGCUAUUGGAUGAGCCUAGAUCAGAUUAGCUAGUUGGUGGGGUAAAGGCCUACCAAGGCGACGAUCUGUAGCUGGUCUGAGAGGAUGAUCAGCCACACUGGGACUGAGACACGGCCCAG
rnacentral:rRNA from 1 species